rnacentral:lncRNA from 1 species
UUGAAUCAUCUAUAUAUAUUACAUCAAAUUGUCAAACCGGAAGCAAGAACUCGAAAAAGUAAUUUAGUAAAACUCGCCGCCUAUAAAAUCCAAAACCGAGGACCAAGACGAAGUAUUCACUCAAGGACCGCGAGUCACGCAUUGUGGUGUGAACGGUUACCAAAACAACGAAAAUGAACCAACGUCUUUGCUGUCUUAUUGUUCUCUUUCUCUCCGUGGUCCCUCUCCUGGCCGCCGGCGACCGUCAAGGAGCGUUGGUUGGGGGAUGGAAGCCGAUAGAGGACCCCAAGGAGAAGCACGUGAUGGAGAUCGGGCAGUUCGCAGUGACGGAGUACAACAAACGGUCAAAGAGCGCGUUGAAGUUCGAGAGCGUGGAGAAGGGCGAGACUCAGGUGGUUUCCGGCACCAAUUACCGGCUGAUCUUGGUCGUCAAGGACGGACCUUCGACCAAGAAAUUUGAAGCUGUCGUUUGGGAGAAGCCGAGGGAGCAUUUCAAGAGUCUCACCUCGUUUAAGCCUUUUAAGCCUAUGGUUGGGGGAUGGAAGCCGAUAGAGGACCUCAAGGAGAAGCACGUGAUGGAGAUCGGGCAGUUCGCGGUGACGGAGUACAACAAACGGUCAAAGAGCACGUUGAAGUUCGAGAGCGUGGAGAAGGGCGAGACUCAGGUGGUUUCCGGCACCAAUUACCGGCUGAUCUUGGUCGUCAAGGACGGACCUUCGACCAAGAAAUUUGAAGCUGUCGUUUGGGAGAAGCCAUGGGAGCAUUUCAAGAGUCUCACCUCGUUUAAGCCUUUUAAGCCUAUGGUUGGGGGAUGGAAGCCGAUAGAGGACCCCAAGGAGAAGCAUGUGAUGGAGAUCGGCCAGUUCGCGGUGACGGAGUACAACAAACGGUCAAAGAGCGCGUAAAAGUUCGAGAGCGUGGAGAAGGGCGAGACUCAGGUGGUUUCCGGCACCAAUUACCGGUUGAUCUUGGUCGUCAAGGACGGACCUUCGACCAAGAAAUUUGAAGCUGUCGUUUGGGAGAAGCCAUGGGAGCAUUUCAAGAGUCUCACCUCGUUUAAGCCUUUUAAGCCUAUGGUUGGGGGAUGGAAGCCGAUAGAGGACCCCAAGGAGAAGCAUGUGAUGGAGAUCGGCCAGUUCGCGGUGACGGAGUACAACAAACGGUCAAAGAGCGCGUUGAAGUUCGAGAGCGUGGAGAAGGGCGAGACUCAGGUGGUUUCCGGCACCAAUUACCGGUUGAUCUUGGUCGUCAAGGACGGACCUUCGACCAAGAAAUUUGAAGCUGUCGUUUUGGAGAAGCCAUGGGAGCAUUUCCAGAGUCUCACCUCGUUUAAGCCUAUGCCUAUGCUUGGGGGAUGGAAGCCGAUAGAGGACCCCAAGGAGAAGCAUGUGAUGGAGAUCGGGCAGUUCGCGGUGACGGAGUACAACAAACGGUCAAAGAGCGCGUUGAAGUUCGAGAGCGUGGAGAAGGGCGAGACUCAGGUGGUUUCCGGCACCAAUUACCGGUUGAUCUUGGUCGUCAAGGACGGACCUUCGACCAAGAAAUUUGAAGCUGUCGUUUUGGAGAAGCCAUGGGAGCAUUUCAAGAGUCUCACCUCGUUUAAGCCUAUGCCUAUGCUUGGGGGAUGGAAGCCGAUAGAGGACCCCAAGGAGAAGCACGUGAUGGAGAUCGGGCAGUUCGCGGUGACGGAGUACAACAAACGGUCAAAGGGCGCGUUGAAGUUCGAGAGUGUGGAGAAGGGUGAGACUCAGGUGGUUUCCGGCACCAAUUACCGGUUGAUCUUGGUCGUCAAGGACGGACCUUCGACCAAGAAGUUUGAAGCUGUCGUUUGGGAGAAGCCAUGGGAGCAUUUCAAGAGUCUCACCUCGUUUAAGCCUAUGGUUAAAUAGGGUGUUUAACAAAUAACAAAUGCAUGUAAUCUCAGUAGACAUCAAUCUUUUAAUACCAUAUUUAAUGGUUAUUCUAUUUUGUUUAAUUAAAUAAAUGAUAGGUAUACUAUUACCUAUCAAUCAUGGCAAUGUCUUAGUCUGUUUUAGUUCAACUUAUAAGAUUUUUUGAGAUGUACAAAAAAUCUUUUUGUUUACUUUUGAGCCAAAUAUUUUCUUGAAAAAGGAAAUAAAUCAAUAAAAAUUAUUGUAUGUGUCAACAUAUUGGUUAUAUUAGUCUAUACACGUCGUCUUUAAUUACCAUAUCUCCUAAAUAUUUUACUUUUUUUGAAACAAACUCAAAAAUUUGUUGUAUAAAAAACACUAUCACUUUCAAUCAUAACGUCCUCCUGGUCCUCCAUUGGGGAUAUUAUAGUGUGUCAUUCUGUAACCCAGAACUAUCAUUUCUUCCACCUCUAAGAUAUCUUGUAAUGUUACUUGCAGCUUCAUAAGCCACAGAAACAUCAUCAAAAUCAACAAAUUGUUUUCUUUUCUUUUUUUUUAGGAAAGUAAUAAGAAAAAUAAAAGCUGCAUUAUUCUGUUUAUGAUCAAUAGAAGAAUUCAAGUGACUGGAGAAAAUUCAGAUUGUUGAAAAUGGGCUCUCAAACGAGAUAAGCCUCAGGUAGUAGACCUCACCAACAUCAGUACCAGACUCAAUCCAUAGAAUCGGUCUCGUCUUAAGCCUAACAGCUCCCUUCUAAUAUAAUCUAGUGAGAACGGUGAGAUGCUUGGUAUAUCAUACACCAAAAAUCAACGAUGCUUGGACUUUCAAGAAAAAGAGAAAAACAAAUGCAUGCACGGGGAAACGUACUAAUUAAAAGCAAAUCAUAUAAUUUACAAAUUAUUAUAGGCUUGUAGCCAUAAGAUCGAGAGAAACUAAAACAUUUCUUGCAUUUUCUGGCCAUAUUUUCUAAAUGAAGGGAUGGUCCAUUGCUGCUCCGCCAUACUGGAUCUCAAGAUGUCAUUAACAAUAGGUCUCAAGAUGUCACUAACAAGGUGUCACUCUGAUACCGACAGGUCUACCACUUAGACAUAACACUUGCCAUAUAAAAUGUUCUCCUAUUUUCGCUAUUUCCUUCGUAUCUUGUGAUUAACGGAACAAUUAGGGAUUUAUGUGCUUCUUAUUAUUAUUAUUAUUAUUAUUAUUUUCCCUAUAUUAAACAAGUAGUCAUUUAUGAAUUUUGAGUGAAAAAUUCACUCGGCUGUGGCAGAUUUUGUGCCUUACAAGUAGUCGAUUUCACGCAUUCAUCAUCACCAUUACUAUGUUCAUUAUUAUUUGCUAUUGUUUUUUACUUUUUCUGCUGUUAUUGAUUAAAUUGGCAUUAAAUUUAUGUCUUGUCCAUUACAAGACUUAACAAUAUAAUCCAGUUGUAAAAUGGACACUACAGAUGAUACAAGUGAGCAAGACCUAGUCAGAGAGCGUAGUACACUUUUUGUAAGUAUAAAUUAAUUGAUAUCUUUCGAGUUGUUAUGUUAGCGACCAUUUUAAAAACACUUCUGUAUUCGAAUUUUGGUUACGUUGAAGUGAAGGGGAUUGAGUUGCCAUUAAAAAUUAAAGUAUUUUGGUCUUUAUAAACAAAGCGCUUUUGUGGAAUAGAUCUAAGAAGAUGCUAAUCUUCUUAAUAAAAUUAAAAAAAAAAAUCUAUUACUCUUGGUGCAACAAAUUUCCUAGUCCCAAAACCUUGUCAUAGAAAAAAAAAAAAAAAAGAAAACAGAAAAAGAGUGAAAAUAUCUUAGGGCAACCAAAUUACUCAAAUUCGUAAAAUAAUAUAAUACUUGAACCUUAAAAAUAAAAGCUCUAUAUAUUACUAUAUAAACAGUGAUAAACACAAUUAAGAAAUUGCUAUCUAAGUCCACUCGAAAUUUUAUCAUACAGUCGUAUAUUUAUCACCUUAUGUACAGUGGCGGACCUGCACGUGGGCUAGACCGGGCUGUAGCCCAGUCUAGUUUAAAAAAAUCAUUUACACCCCUUACGUUUUUAAUAAUUUAGUAAAAUAAUUGAGUUUUCAUUUUAUUUUCAUAUAUGUCCCUAACUCAACUACCCUUACAUUUUCAUCAAUUUAGUAUAACAAUAGAGUUUUCAUUUUAUAUUUAAAUAUGUCCCUAACUCAAUUACCCAUAUGUUUUCAUUAAUUUUAUAUAAUAAUAGAGUUUUUAUUUUAUUUAUAAAUGUGUCCCUAAGUCAAUUAUAUUAUUUUCAAUUGAAAUUAGUGACUUAUUUUAUAAAAUGAUUAAAUUAUAUAUUUAUUGAAUAGAUUGAAAACAUUAGGGUGUUAAAAUUUUAUUACUGCUUUAAUUUAUUUUAAAAAGCUUCUAAUUAAAAAAUAUAUAUGUCAAUGUAAUAUAACAUCAUCACUAGACUUAAAAGUACUUACAGAAAUAACAUAUAGUAACAAUUAUCAAUAUUUUCAUAAAAUUUUAAUGUGAAUUUUCAGAUUUUAUUUAUUAGUUAUAUUAACUAAGAGGACAAGUUAGAAAAUACAAUUUGAGUAUUUUAAGAGCUUUUAAUAGAAGAAUCAUCAACUUCUAGUUCUUUAAAGAGAGAUAGAGCAUCUGACAAAGAAACAACUGCACCCAAAUAUCUUUUUGCUGAAUUUAGUUUAGUUUAUUAUUGAAACUUUUGAUUAAAAAUACUUUUACAAUUUGAAAGGAUGAAUAAAUUUUAAUUAUUUAAUUUAUUAAGUCGGGUAAUUUAGUACUUCACUUCAAGCAUAAAAGUUUUACUUGCAAUUUUUAAUUGAUUGUAAUUACAUGUAUUGAUCUAUUUUAAUUUAAAAUUCUUAAUUGAUUUUUUAAUCCUUAUAUAAUUACAAGUUAUUAUGGGUUGCAAUGUCAAAUUCUAUAAUUAAAAAAUAAUUUCAUAUUUGAGUUGUCUUUUGUUUUCUACUCUUUUUUUAUAAUUAUUUUUGUUUAUAGUACAUAUUUAGAGAGAUAAAGUUCUUGGUAUUCCUCCUUAUUUAAUAUACUUAUUUCUACUUAUAAAUUUUUAUGUUCGCUUCAAAAUACAAAUUUUAAAAUUUAGUCCGGGGUAAUAUUAAAUCCUGGAUCCGCCCCUGCUUAUGUACGUAUACUGUAAUUUGGAUACGUUAUUUAAUUAUAUAUAUAUAUUGUGUAGAUUUACCACAUUAUGUACGUAUAUAAAAUAUAACGUAUAUUGUGUAAACUCUACUAUAAACAAUUAAUAUUUGGUCAUAUUUCUUUUGGCAAAUAACCCCCUGGGAUUUCUUCUUUAUCGCAACAUGAAAUUGAAGAUAUUUAAAAGGUUUUGAAACGUUAUUUUUAUUUUUUUUGAGAAGUUUUGAAACGUUAUUUUAAUUGAAAGGAUUUGCCAUUUUUAAUUUUGGUUGCAAAUAAUAAUUCCUUGGUGGUUACAAUAUUUUUAAAUAUCCCCAUUAAGGCUGUAGGGGCUACAAAUCUUCAUUCUAGAUCUGUAACAUAUGACUAUGAAUUAUAUAUAAAUGAGCUAUUUUUCUUUAUCUUUGGAUAUAUUAUAUACUCUAUUGUUUUCUCCGAAACUCUACGAUAAACAAUUAAUACUUUUCUUUGCAACUUCGACAUUCAAAGACUUGGUUUAUUCUGCAGGUAAAUCGUGCUUAGGAAGAAGAGCGGCAUGAAGAUAUUUGGGUUGUAUUUUGGAGCUGCGAAAUACCGACAAUAUCCGCCCGUGGGGAGGGCUCUUUGACAUUUGGGUUGUAUUUUGGACAUUUGUUCUUCUCCAUAGUACUGGCCGGAUUCUUCAACAAUACCCUAAUACUUCUAAAGUCAAAGACAUGCUUCUCUUUCGUUGAAUAUAUUUGCAUCUCUAGGUGAAAGUUGUAGUGGGUAUUUUCCAUAGAUAUGGCUAUACAUGUAGCAUGACUAGAGUUCAUUUGACGGAAUUAGCCCUUCAAUGGGUUGUCGUUAUAAACCAGAUGGCCAAUAUAAUCAUGCAGCCUAUUUCAGCAAUCUUGUUUAUUAUGAUAUUAAUUUUGUGACUCAAGAAGCUGCAAGUAACAAUAAUACAGGACACCGUACAUAAGCAAGUAAUUAUUUUGGUUGCAAAAUGCAACACUUUCUGGACCAUCUUCUGGUUAUAAUUUCGUUUUUAGAGGACCUGAAGGAAACUGUAGGUGAAUUAGUAAAAUGUAAAUUUUUUUUAUUAUAGACAUUGUAUAAUUGUUUUCAAAUUUGGUAUAGCAAUAAAUAUGAUCUAUGUUUUGGACUGGUAGGUAGGUUUUUAAAAUUCUAUCCCAAAAGUUUAUCUUAAAGUUCUAUCUUAAAUUAUGUGGUCUUCAUUAACUGAUUGGUGUAAUUAAUUUAAUUAAUAAAAAAGGAUCUGAUCCUCUCCUAGACAUUUUUUUUGCCUCCUCCUAAACUUUUAAUGAUCCAUUGACAUGGGCAUUUCAAAAAUGCGCGAAUGUCGCGAGAGCUCAACUCUUUCUUCUAUAGUACUUUUUUCUCUGAAAAGAGUACUAGAAUGAAAGUUUUUUGAAGCCAUUAUGGCUUGCUUUUUGGCCACUCACAAGUUGAGUGUUUCUAUCCCCUCAUUCGGGCUUUAUCUAUUGUCUCUUACAUAACCUUUUCUUUAACCAAUAUUCUUAGUUGCCUUAAAAGUUUCCCGAUAAUAGCUCCAAAAGAUCUCAUUUAUUUCAAGUCUGUCGAGGAAGUGGGUUCUAGCUGCAAAAGUUGCUGCCCGUAGGAAGUUAUGGAUACGGAGGAAUUAAUUAGAAAAUGCCAAGCCAUUGUUUUAAAAGAAGAAGAGGAGGACACAGUAAAGCUGAUGGAAAGAAUGAAGGCUACGGGGGAAAAAAUUGCUGCAAACUGUUUGAUUGGAAAGAUCAUGCUGACCAGAGGAGUAAACAGGGAGGGUUUGAAAACCGCAAUGCAACAGCCAUGGCAGACAGUUAGAGAAGUAAAAGUUGAGAGCAUGGGGGACAAUGUGUUUCUAUUCAAAUUUGCCAAUGAAGUAGAAAGAAGAAGAAUUCUAAAGGGAGGUCCUUGGCACUUUGAUAGGGCUCUCCUGGUACUGGCUGAACCAAGUGGCAUAGGGGACAUAAAAAAACAAUCCUUCACACACACAUCCUUUUGGGUCCAGAUUCACAAUAUCCCAAUAAUGUGCAUGGUAAGAGAGACCAUAAAAAUGCUGGGGGAAAGGAUAGGCAUAGUAGAAGACAUUGAAGCAGAUGAAGCAGGAGAAUGCCUCGGUCAAUUCGCUAGGGUCAGAAUAUCUGUAAAUAUAACACAACCUUUAAAAAAGGUAGUGUAUCUGCAACAAGAGGGGGAAAAGAUACAAAUGCCAGUUCUAUAUGAAAAAUUACCAGACUUCUGUUUCUGUUGUGCCCAUAUUGGUCAUCAAUUUAAAGAGUGCCUCAAUUAUAAAGGACAGCCAAAGGAGGAGCUGCCAUAUAAUGCUUGGAUGAGAGCCCCCUCACAAGCAGAAAGGGUGAAGCUAAACCGAAGCAGGGAGAGAAGAAAUUGGGAACAGUUUCAGAAGAAAACAGGAGAUGAAGAAGUCAAUACACAAAAAUCUUUCCAGUUUCAACACGAUCCAAUAAUUGCAAACGGGUCACUCACAAACAAAACGGGCACCGAAAUGGGAGAUAGAGAUGGACCGAUGAGCAAAAACCGUGAGCCAGCAAUUGGGGAUAACCCAUUAAUGCAGUGUGAUGAGGUGAUGGAAAGCCUGCAACCAAGUGGGAAGAGUAAAAGCGAAGAAACAAAUCAGCAGUAGAGCAUGUCAGCUGACAAAGACGGCUGCACCAGGAACGAAAAUGAAAGGGCGGGAAUUAAAAAGUGGGGGGAAAUUGAAAUUGCGAAGGCAAAAGAAAAAAUCCCAAACAAAGACCAUGCCAAAACAAAUGAGGAGAAAAUGGAUAAUGGGCCGAAAAAUCUACAGCCGAGGCCCAAACCAAGGAAAUGGAAGCUUAGAGCGAGAGUUCAAAAAAUGGAGAAAGGGAGCAGCAGUGAACCAAAAAACUCAAAAAGGCCUAGCACUGAAAUCUCGAGACCCAGCCCCGAAAACAAGAAACAACGAUUGUUAAGUCCUCUCAAACAAUCCAGUGACCAAAAUCAGUUCAGCUCCUCUUCAAUAAAUCACCAGCUGAAGUUAGUUGAUGAAGAACAAGUUGAAGGGGAAGAGGAAGCUGCAAUGGGGGAAAAUAUAUUGGCAGGAGCUGGUAGCCAGCCCCGCUAGCAGCCAUGAGAGUGUUAAGCUGGAACGUUCGAGGUCUGGGGACUCCUCGAACGCGCCUAGCAGUAAAGAAAGUUCUCCACCUGCACCAGCCCCAAAUUUUCUUUUGCUGUGAAACAAAGAUGACGGCUAGGCAGGUUGAUGCGACAUGUGGAAGUUUCAAUUUUGAGAACCGGUUUGUAGUUGAUAGAAAUGGUAUGGGAGGGGGACUGGCUUUAUUUUGGAGCUCGGAUGUUAAUGUCACGAUCAAAUCUUAUAGCUCUCACCAUAUAGAUGCCAUUGUACAGAACCAAAAUGGUAAGAUAUGGAGAUGCACUGGGAUUUACGGCCAUGCUGAGGCAAGUCAGAAACAUCACACUUGGGCAUUGCUGAACAGGUUAGCAGAGCUCUACUCCUAUACUUGGUGUUGCUUAGGAGACUUUAAUGAAAUUCUCUAUUCUCACGAGAAAUUGGGGGGAAAUGACCGAAGCAGUAAUAUGAUGUUAGAGUUUAAAGAGUCUAUCAGAGCCUGUAAUUUGAUGGAUAUGGGUUUUAAGGGGCACAAAUACACAUGGUCCAAUAGGAGAUAUGGGGUUAACUUUAUAGAGGAAAGGCUCGAUAGAGUGCUCUGCAGCAAAGAUUGGGGCAGCACCUUUUAGAAUCUCCCAGCCAUAAGCUUAGUGAACUGGGUUUCGGACCAUUGCCCAAUUAUGUUUGAAGUAAAAGAUUGCUGCAAAAAGCUAAACUACAAGAAAAAUUCCUUCCCCCGUGACCAUUAUGAAGAUAUGUGGAGUUCGUACGAAGCCUGCAGCAACAUCGUGAGGACUGAGUGGGAAAGCUUUGAUGGAAAUAGCUGGGAAAGUCCAGUGCAGAGGUUUCAGAGGGUGGCAAAAAGGUCUUUAGCUCAUCUCAAAAUCUGGGGCAAGGAGGAAUUUGAAGGUAGAAAAAAGAAGCAGAACGAGUUGAUAGAUCGGCUGAAAAUGAAAAAGCAGAAACUUCCACAAGCGAUAGAUGGGGAAGAAAUCAGGAAGCUUGAAGACCAAAUUAGUAACAUGCUGGUCGAUGAAGAAGUCUAUUGGAAGCAGAGAUCGCGUGCAGAUUGGCUAAAAGAAGGGGACAAAAAUACAAAGUUCUUUCACUCCAAAGCAUCCGCUAGGAGAAGGAAGAACAAGAUUUGGGGAGUUGAAGAUGAUCAAGGGAAUUGGGUUGAUGAUCCAGAAGGAAUUGAAGGGGAAUUUUGUGGGUUUUUCCAACAGCUGUUCACUUCCUCUAAACCAAGUCAGCCUCAGAUUUCAGAAGCUCUCAAAGGCUUGCUGCCAAAAUUUUCUCAAGAAAUGAAUACCCACUUAGAGGAGCCUUUCACUCCGGAAGAAAUCACAAGAGCUCUCUCCGAAAUGUGCCCGACUAAAGCCCCGGGACCAGAUGGACUGCCGGCUGCUUUCUUCCAAAAGCAUUGGCAAAUAGUUGGCGAAGGUUUGACAAAAACAUGUCUGCACAUACUAAAUGAGCAAGGUACCCUAGACUCUCUAAAUUAUACUUUUAUUACUCUUAUCCCUAAGGUUGAGAAGCCUAGGAAAGUAAUGGAAUUUAGACCCAUUAGUCUUUGUAAUGUGGUGUAUAGAAUUGUAGCUAAGGCAAUAGCAAAUAGGCUAAAGCCGAUUCUUAACCAUAUUAUCUCACCAAAUCAGAGCGCAUUCAUCCCCAAUAGGCUCAUUACAGACAAUGUUAUUAUUGGUUAUGAAUGCCUCUAUAAGAUUAGACAUAGCAAGGGUCAUAGGAAUGACUUGAUGGCUUUAAAGCUCGACAUAAGCAAAGCUUAUGAUAGAGUUGAAUGGAAUUUUCUGGAACAAACCAUGUCAAAUUUGGGUUUCUCAACCAAAUGGAUAAGCUUGAUCAUGAGCUGCAUUACCACGACUUGUUUCUCAGUUCUUAUUAAUGGGAAUCCAGUGGGCUUGAUAAAGCCGGAAAUGGGACUUAGACAAGGAUGCCCCCUUUCCCCAUAUCUCUUUAUUUUGUGUGCAGAAGCUUUCUCAAACUUGUUGCACCAAGCUGAAAGGGAGCGGAAAAUCAGAGGCCUGAAAUUUGCUCAAGACAUCACAAUAACUCAUUUGCUCUUUGCUGAUGAUAGCUUAGUCUUCAGCAAAGCAUCUAUAGCAGAUUGCAAGUACUUAAAAGGGAUUUUUGAUUGUUAUGCAAAGGCUUCGGGGCAGAUCUUUAACUUCGAAAAAUCCUCUAUGUUCUUCAGCGGCAAGGCUACAAGCGAGCAAAUUUCAGCAAUAAAAAGUAUUUUUCAGCUGAAGGUGGUGCCCAAAUAUGAGAAGUACUUAGGCUUACCUCCCAUGUUAGGCAGGAAUAAGAUGAGUUUUUUUAAGGAGGUUAAGCUCAAAGUGACCAGCAAGAUAUCGAGUUGGCAUCAUAAGCUUUUUUCGGCUGGAGGAAAAGAGAUUCUUAUCAAAGCAGUAGCUCAGGCAGUUCCAGCUUACGCCAUGAGUGUUUUCAAACUUCCCAAAGGCUUAUGUGUAGACAUCCAAAAAGAAAUUGCAAGAUUUUGGUGGGGUACCAAGAAGGACAAGCAUGGAAUUCAUUGGGCACGGUGGGACAGUAUGAGCAAAGCAAAAUGCAGAGGAGGGUUGGGGUUCAGGGACCUCUCUAGUUUCAACCAAGCUUUGGUGGCCAAGCAAGGAUGGAGAUUAGUUCGGUAUCCCAACUCUUUAAUGGCAAGGGUAAUGAAAGCUAGAUAUUACAAGAACUCUACAUUCUGGAAUGCAAAAGUAGGAUCUAAUCCCUCCUUCAUUUGGCGAAGCAUCUUGUGGGGAAGUCAAGUUAUUAAAAAAGGGGUGAGAUGGAGAAUAGGAGAUGGGAAGAAUGUUGUAGUGUACAAAGACAACUGGAUCCCAAGACCAGCCACUUUCCAGCCAAUCUCCCCAAAAACUCUCCCCCCUGAGACUGUAGUGGCUGAUUUAAUCAAUUCGGAAAACAAAUGGCGAGCAGACAAGUUGGAGCAACACUUUAUGAAAGAAGAUAUUGAAGCUAUCCUCAAAAUCCUGCUGCCCAGCGGGAAAGAAGAAGAUGAGGUGUUAUGGCAUUUUGACAAAAAAGGGGAGUAUUCGGUUAAAAGUGGGUAUCAGCUUGCUCUUAAUCAAAACUUUCCCAAUAAGCCAGAAAGCUCAAACAGCAGCUCUAGGCUCUAGAAAAUCCCCUGGAUGCUUGAUUUACCUGAGAAAGUUAAAAUCUUUAUGUGGAGAGCUCUGAAAAAUAUCCUGCCGACGGCUGAAAAUCUUUGGAAGAGAAAGAGCUUGCAAGAACCGAUCUGUCAAAUGUGCAAACUGCAAGUAGAAACGGUAAGCCAUGUUCUGGUAGAGUGCAAAGCAGCAAGGAAGAUUUGGGAUUUAGCUCCAUUACCAGUUCAGCCUUUAAAGGAUCACAACCAAGAUUUUUUCAGUGCUAUCCAAGAGAUGCAGUCCAGGUCUUCAACAGCAGAAGCAAAACUGAUGGUAGUAUACUGUUGGGUGAUAUGGUCAGCAAGAAAUAAAUUCAUUUUCGAAGGAAAGAAAUCUGACUCAAGAAUUUUAGCAGCAAAAGCUGAAUCAGUUUUAAGGGCCUACCAAAGAGUGAGCAAGCCAGGAAAUGUUCAAGGGACUAAGGAUAGAGGAAUUGAUCAGCAGAAAUGGAAGCCCCCCCCCCCCCCCCAAAAAAAUGUUCUGAAACUUAAUGUAGAUGCAGCCGUGAAUAGCAAAAACCAGAAGACAGGUCUGGGAGCAAUUGUCCGAGAUGCAGAGGGAAAGAUUCUAGCUGUAGGUAUCAAGCAAGCUCAGUUCAGGGAGAGAGUCAGCUUAGCAGAGGCAGAAGCUAUUCUUUGGGGGCUACAGGUGGCUAAACAAGUCUCUUCAUCUAGCUUGAUAGCAGAAUCUGACUGUAAAGAAGUGGUAGAGCUUCUAAACAACACUCAGGGCAGUAGAACAUAAAUUCAUUGGAUAUUAUCUGAUGUUCAUAGGGAAAGUAAGGAUUUCCAGCAAGUCCAAUUCUCUUUUUCCCCUAGAACCUGUAAUACUUAUGCCCAUGCCUUAGCAAAGUUUGCUCUAAGGAAUUCUUCCACUGAUGUCUGGAUUGACACAUUUCCAGCUGAAGUGCAGAAUGUAAUGAAUUGUGUUGUUUCCUAAAGAAUGAAAGGUUUAUUUUCUCAUAAAAAAAAAAAAUAUCCAUUGACAUGUGUUGAAAUUAAUAAAUAAAAAAUUAUUUUAUCUUUACCGCUUUAACCCUACCUAAUUUGUGGACCCAUUUUGUCUUCCACGUGAUUGGUAUUAUUACUUUAUUUGUCUUUGUAUGUACUAUUAUUUAUUCUGUGGACCCAUUCAUGCACCCACGUUUCGGACAUGCAAUUUAACCGUAGCCGUUAAUCUUACUUAAUCAUAUGUGCGAUAAAAAUCUGCCGUCGAUCCGUUAUAAGUAAGUACCAACCAUGCGUUAUUAUUCGAUUUGCUACGUUACAAAAUCUUAUUGAUUACGAAACAGAAAACACCUGGGCCUAGGCAAUAUAGUAUUUCUUUUUGGGGGCCCAGCGGGAAAUUGUUAUUCAAUAAUAAUUAAACAAGAACUUGCAAAAGCAACUUAAUUACAAAUAAUAUUUCCUCUAUUCUUAAUCUCAGAAUGAUGAUGAUAAUUGAUCUUGCAGAUCAAUCAUUAAAGUUUAUUUGUUUGACUCUUUAGAAUUUUUGUUGGCCAAUAAAAGGAUGUAUUUUGCUGUUUAAUAAGGUAAGCUCGAAAUAAAUCAAAUCCUAGCCAUACAAAAGUUCAAAUGACAUGAGCCAUAAUCUCUUGCCAAGCUUCAGAAAAAUUAAAUUAAAGUCAAAAUAAACCACUUUGUAAAGUAAAAAUAAACCACUUUGUAAAGUCAAAAUAAAGUCUUCGCCGUCUGCCUCCAGUGACUAACGCCCCAGGCCCUUGAUGAAAUAGAAAUCCGAGCAGUGAAGUCACACUUCUCAUUGAAAACGACUAAUAAAAAUUAAGUUGGAAACUCGAACAGUAGCUAGAUAACCUUACUCUUUUAUAUUUUAAGAAUUUGUUCAGAAAAUAUUACGAUCUCUUCUAACUUAAGUUGAAAUGCCGUUUCUAAUUCUUAUUCUUAUAAAAUGUGUACUUAUCAAUAAAGUUUCUUAUAUAAAAUUUUCAACUAAUAAUGAAUCUUCUUCAUCCAAGAUGCUAAUAUAGUCCUAAAGGUGGUGGUGAUGAAAGAAUGGACAUUAAACCAUUAAACUUCAUCUCGUAGUCUAAAGCGUGGUUGCUGGUCCUCCAUAACACCAAUAAUCUCUCCCUCCGUGACGCGUGACCAGACUAUGAUAUCACUUCUUAUUGUGACUUUUUAGCAAGUCGCCAAUCACUAAAUUGGUCCAGAUUUAACAUGCUUAAUUAUGGAUCUUUCAAAUUAAAGUUUUCAUAUUCCUUUGAAAACUAAAUGGAAAUAAAAUAAAAAAAUGAAUAUUUUGAAAACUAAUUGGAAACCCAUAAGACCAACAGUCUUAUACUAUAAUUUAAAUUUAAUUAUGUUUUAUUGACAAAAAUUAGCUAUUAUCAUUAUGAAAUGCCCAUUUCACUGAACUAUCUUUGAUUAUAAAAUUUAUUUAGCAAUUCCAAGUGAAAUGAUAUUUUGAACGAGGAAAAGACUCAAUUAGACAUUUAGACCGGGCUGCAGUUCUGGCCUCAUUUUGUCCUGAAGCUCAGCCAUGAUCCUGCCAAAGUUUUGGAGCCAUGCUAGCCACAUUUUAUCUUACUAUUAUGCACCACAUUUACUUUUUCGAUCUUGGAGACUGCGACUGGGUCAAACAUAUCCUCAAGCUCCGUUUUAACCUUACGAAAUUUGUGGACCCAUUUUACCUUCACGUGAUCGGUAUUACUACUUUUGUGGACAAGGCUACGUCGCAGUUGCAGACUCAGCUGAGUACCAACAGCUUUUCCUCUCUCCUGCAACGCGUGGAUGCUCCUUGUUUGUCUUCUUAUCUGCAAUUAUUUUCUCUGUGGACCCAUUCAUGCACCCACGUCUCGAAUAUGCAAUUUAACCGUAGCCGUUAAUCAUACCUAACUAUAUGUACGAUAAAAAUUCCGCCGUCGAUCCGCCAUAUGUAAGUACCAAUCAGGCAUUAGUUUUCUAAUAAGACUUUAUUUCAUUUAUUAGCUCAUAUUCAUCCAUGUGUUUAUCAUUCCUAGCUAAUUCGAUUAUUUUCAUUUCCAAGACUAUCUUUAAUAUGUGCAUCAAUUAAUAAAACUGAUUUACCAGAAUUUCCAGCCCCUAGACUUUGCAUCAAUAAUUCACAGGUUGCAAAUUAUUCAAUUUGCAGCUCACAGGCAUGUUUAGAAAAAUGAAACCUAUACAAUAGCAUAUAAAGUGUCUGAUUGCAACAUGUUGUGCAACGCAAAAAAUAAGAUGCAUCAUGUUGUGCAAAUGCAAAUAAAAAUCAGCUACAAUAUAAUGAACAUUAACAAUCUUGCUCAAAGUCAAAAUGAGAUUAUUUGAAUUUUUUCUGAAGAUGUUGGAUUAUAUAAAUAAUCAGUUAAUUAAAAGGUCGUUAUUGGAUUGGUUUCUUAAUUUUAUUUGCACAUAUUAAAGGGCUCAUCUCUAUGUAAGUACUAGUAGCCUGGCUCCCAAAGAUUCCUGAAAUCAUUCCGCAUGAAAGACAUAAAUGCAUCAAACUAAAAUACAAAUGAGCUAAGGAAUGUUAAUGCAUUCAUUAAUUAUUCAAUUUCUUAUCUAAAGACUAAGAUUCUUUUAUUUUUUAUUCUAUCAAUUUAUUAUUACGUAAAACAAUUGCGGGUGAGUAUAUUUAAACUCAUUAGAUCACUCCCUAUAUCCUAAAUCAAUAAAUAAUUUUAUUACAAAAUUACCGAAAAAUCCUUUUAAUUUCUUGAAUACCCAAAAAAGUAAAAUUACCAUUCUAGAUGGAGGAUAAGUCUUUAAAACUGCCUUAAACGCAUCUUAUUUGUUCAUACACACACAAGUUAUUAAACAACCAUGGAUGUUGAACCAAAGUGUCAAACUUAGUUUAUGGUUGUCAAAUUUUCUUCCUAUUGGACAUCUAAAUCGUUUUGCAGUCAGUAACAUAGUCAGAAAAUCAAAUUAGUGGGGUAGAAUGACUGACAUAAAAUAUAAAGAAAAAAAUUUACUGUGUUCUUUAUCUAUUUUUCUAAUAUUUUUAGCAUUCCUCCUUACAUAUGUCUUAAUAGCAUGUUUAAUUUGAAGAAAUAAAAUAAGAAGAGAUGAGAGAUAAGGAGAAUGGGAACAAUAAAUAAGGAAAAAAGAGAUAUACUUAUAUAUUAAAUUAAACAAUGAAAUUGAGAAUGAUCCUAUUUUUUCCCUCAUUUUUUGAUCACUUACUCUAAGAAACCAAAACUUUAAGGAAAGACAGACAAAUCAUAAAGAUUGAAGAGCAGGAAUUUUUGUUCUCCUUUUUAAAUAAAAAAUUUUCAUUUUAAUGGAUUUUUAUUAUUAAAUUAGUCUUUCGCUAUAUCAGAUCAAAUAUAUUAGAUCUUAAAUCUUGUUUUUAAUGAAAUUAAUUACGUUUUGGGCAUUUAAAUUAUGAAAGUGGACAAGAUUUGUGUGUGAUUUUAAAAUAAAUAUGAACUUGAAUUUGAUGCAUUUAAUUAAUCCAAAGAGGCAAAUUUAUAAUUUCAACUUCUAAAUAAAACAUAUCAUUUGAAUUUUAUCAGUGGUUUCUAACAAUAACUGACAGGUCAUUAUAAUAAUUAUAAAUGUAAUAUUUAUUUUUAUAAUUAUACAGUUAUGAUCAAUGCUAUGCUGUAGUGCCGUUCCAAAGGCAACUGCUCCCACUAUUCUCUUAGCGGCUCUGCCACUAAUCGCAUUCUGGCCACAUUUUAUCGUGCUAUUAUGCACCAUAUUUAUUUUUGCAAUCUGCGAGACUGCGACUAGGAUAUGCAUAUGCUCAAGCUCCGGUUUAGUCUUAAUUUGUGGACCCAUUCUACCUCACACGUGAUUGGCAUUACUACUUUGUUUGUCUUCUUAUGUACUAUUAUUUAUUAUGUGGACCCAUUCGUGCACCCACGUUUCGAAUACACAAUUUAACCGCAGCCGCUAAUCUUACCCAAUUUAUGUACGAUAAAAGCUCCGCCGUCGAUCCGUUAUACUUAAGUACCAACCAUGAUCAUGAUUUGAUUAGCUACGUCGCAAAGUCGUAUUGAUUACGAAACACCAACACCUAGGGCCUAGGCAAUAUAGUAUUCUUUUUAGGUGGCCCACGAGGAAAUUGUUGUUGAAUAAUCAUUAAGCAAGAACUUGCAAAAGCAACUUAAUUACAAAUAAUAUUUCCUCUGUUCUUAUUUUCAGUUCAAUUUGGUCCCGAGAAUAAUGAUGAUGAUGAUGAUGUUGACGACAGCAAAAAUAAUAAUUGAUCUUGCAGAUCAAUUAUCAAAGUUUGUUUGUGUGACUCUUGGAAUCUUUGUUGGCCAAUAAAAGGAUGCAUUUUGCUGUUUAAUAAGGCAAGCUCGAAAUAAAUCAAAUCCUAGUCAUACAAAAAUUCAAAUGAUAUGAGCCAUGAUCUCUUGCCAAGCUUCAGACAAGUUAAAUUAUGAACACACAUUUACGCUGUGGACCCAUUCAUGCAUCCCCGUUUCGAUUUUGCAAUUUAACGUAGCCGUUAAUCUUACCUAACCAUCCGUACGAGAAAAACUCCGCCGUCGAUCCGUAUAUGCAUUAUUAUUUUUUUUGGAUUAGGACGAAAUUAUUAUUGAAUAAUAAUUAAAACAAGAAAAUCUGAAUCUUUCUAUGAUUGUAUCAACUUAUUAUGCAUGCCUAUGUUAUUGCCCGGUUGCCUAUGUUAUUGACAUCUACUACGAAGUUAGAAAUUGGUCUUAAUUAAUUAGAUAUGUUUCGAAAUUGGUCUUAAUUAAUUAGAUGCAUUUCUCAUUUGAAUUAUUUGGAGACGUGUAUAAUACAGGUCAAGUUUUCUAAUAAGAGUUUAGUGACUUUAUUUCUUUUAUUGGCUCAUAUUGAUUUAUUUGGUUAUCAUUCCUAGCUAAUUCGAUUAUUUAUCAAUAAUUUUAUUGGACAAAUUCUUUUAUUGGCUAAAAUAAGUUUUUCUUAUUAUUGUUUUUGACGAGAAGGUCUCAAUACAGUUGGAACAAACAAAUUUUUAUCUAUGUCUCGCACUUACAUAAAAUAAAGGAAAAAUUUAUAAUUAUAAAUAAAUUAAGAACCAAUGUCAAUAAUGUAAAAUCAAAUAUUUAAACACUUCUGAGUUUAAGACUUUUUUCUUUCAUAUGUUAGAAAAUAAAAUUUUGAUGGAAUUUUUUUAAAAAAUGAAAUUGGGAAUUAGAAAAUUUCAUUUCCAAGACUAUCUUUCAUUGGCUAUGUCCAAGACGAAACAGAUUAAAAGCAACUUUUGUAAUUUACAAAAUUACUGUAGCAAAUGAGAUGCGAAAGAAAAGACUGCACGUGAUAAUUGCGGUUAGUUUUCCCCUGUUAUCAAUUAUUGCCACCGGAUGGGACCCACGUAAUUCGUCUAAUUGAACUGUACCCGGUUAUUCGCAAUCCACACCGGGCAAACUUGAAUCAUCUAUAUAUAUUACAUCAAAUUGUCAAACCGGAAGCAAGAACUCAAAAAAGCAACUUAACUACUUUCGAACUCUGAUUCCCGUAAGCAGAGAUCUUUCUGAUUUGAAGAACAUGGAAACUACCUGCGCAGGUUUAUAGGCCAACUUUAUUUUAAUAUAUAUCGUUUAUGCUUCUUAUUUUAGUAUAUGCGGUUAUAAAUUAAAUUUUUUAUAUGAAAUUUUCAGGAAAUAACUGGUCAGAGAGUUUCAUCGUUCCUCCGGUGGCCAGUAUUGCUGAUGAUGAUGUCAUGAACGACAAUCUUGAUCUUCUUAAUGUCCCUCAAUAUGGAAGAAAUCCCGACUACAUGGGUUAAGUGCAGCACUGCUUUUUUUUUUUUUUCUGUUUUGUUUAAUUAAAUAAAUGAUAGGUAUACUAUUACCUAUCAAUCAUGGCAAUGUCUUAGUCUGGUUUAAUUCAACUUAUAAGAUUUCUUAAGAUGUACAAGAGAUCUUUUUAUUUACUUUUGAGCUAAUUAUUUCCCUGAAAAAGGAAAUAAAUCAAUAAAAGUUAUUGUGUGUGUCAACAUAUUGGUUAUAUUAGUCUAUACACGUAGGUUUUAAUUACGAUAUCUCUUCCUAAAUAUUUUACUUUUUUUGAAACAAACUCAAAAAUUUGUUGUAUAAAAAACACUAUCACUUUCAAUCAUAUGAUGGUUACAUUUUAAUCAUUUAUUCAUAACGUCCUCCUGAUCCUCCAUUGAGGAUAUUAUAGUGUGUCAUUCUGUAACCUAGAACUAUCAUUUCUUCCACCUCUACGAUAUCUUGUAAUGUUACUUGCAGCUUCAUAAGCCACAGAAACAUCAUCAAAAUCAACAAAUUGUUUUCUUUUCUUUUUUUUUAGGAAAGUAAUAAGAAAAAUAAAAGCUGCAUUAUUCUAUUUAUGAUCAAUAGAAGAAUUCAAGUGACUGGAGAAAAUUCAGAUUGUUGAAAAUGGGUUCUCAAACGAAAUAAGCCUCAGGUAGUAGACCUCACCAACAUCAGUACCGCUAAUCUCCCUUUUCCAUUCAUUUUUCACUAUGAAAUUAAUUACUAAUUAAUCUACAGUUAGUUUCUCUACAGCUAAUAGGAACGUGAUUUAUUCCCGAAGGCUCGCAUCUUUUUUAUUCAUUAUCUACAGUGCACUCACCUCCAAUCUAUGUAUAGGCAGACAUGCAUAUUUAUUAUAUCAAAUAAGUUAUUGAUGGAAAUUUCACUUUCGAAAAUAGAGAAUUAUCCUUAAUUAAAUCUUAGUGGGCCUAAAUUCGAGUAAGAUUUAAUGAUGUAUGAUUCAAAAUUAUUGAAAUCGGACAUUUUAAACAAGAAAAAAAUAAAAAAUCUUGUUCGCUUUUUUAAAUAAUAAAUUUCAUUUUGAUGGAUUUUUAAUAUUAAAUUAGACAUUUGCUAAAUUGGCUCAAAUAUAAUAGAUCUUAGACCUUGCUUUUAAUGGAUUUAAUUAGGUUUUGGGCAUUUAAAUUAUACAACUGGAGACAGAAUUUAUAAAUAGAUAAGAUUCUAAUGUGAUUUUAAAAUAAAUUUGAACUUGAACUUGAUGCAUUGAAUUAAUCCAGAAAGGUAAAUUUAUAAUUUCAACUUUUAAAUAAAACAUAUCCUUUGGAUUUUUUACAUAAACUAGAGGCAAUUGUACAAUAUUUACUUGACUAGUGGUAUAUAUCCCAAAUUUUUUAUCCUAAGAAAUGCCACAUCAUUUGGUUGAUGAGGAUAAUAUAAUAAAUUCACUUAGAUAUUAUAAAAAAUUCUCAACCAAUCAAUUAAUAACAUAUCAUUUUCAUUGGGAUGGAAUUUGGAAAAAAAAUUUAGGACGUCUAUCAUUACUUUAGUAAGAAAGCAUAUUAAGAUGGACUAACAUGUUUGGAUGCCCCAGCCAAAGAUGCAAGAGAUCAAUUUCUUUUGUUGUCUUGAAAUCCCUACUAUUUGACUCAACAACAUUGGCAACAUUUAACUCAUUACUGCUAGAACAAAAAGAUAUCAUAGACAAAGGAUUGCUAUUGCAAUUUAUUGACUCAUACUCUAAAGAUAGAGGUAACUCAACAUCACAUUCAAUCUUGCGCUACUCAUGCACAAUAGCUCAUAUAGCCUAUCUUUAGUCACUCCUUUCACUAGGAUUUUCACUUGGCUAAAGCAAAUAGAUUUUUGAAGCACAACAUCAAUAUCAUUAUCACGGAACAAUUUUGAGACACUAAUAAGGUUCUUAGUAACGCUAGGCACAAACAACGAGCUAUUUAGUUUAAUCUGUUUGUGCGGAUCAUAAGUGAGCAAUAUAGAGUAUUCAAUAUGAGAAAUCAAAAGUUUAUCACCAUUUCCAACAGUAGCUUGUCAUUACCUUGAUAUUCUGAAUUAAAGCUCAUGCUUCCAAUAGCACUGGUUACAUGAUUUGUAGCACCACUGUCAAGGUACCAAGCUCUACUAUUCUCACCAUCAACUGCAACCACAUAUGCUCUUCUUGGAUCUCUUCUUCUAUUUGGCUAUGGAACUGAUAUGAACCCUCUUUAGAACUAACAUGACCCUAACCAAUUUAGUCUCUAAGAUUGAAACCAAUUUUUUUUUUCGAAGAGAUUGAAACCAAAUCUAAAAUUGAAUGGAACCGCGAUUUGAUGUCAAUGAAAGUACGAACCUUGGUAUGUGAUGACGCCACCGUCACCUAUGGAUGAUCUGAUUGAUAAGUCAAGAGUUUGAACACCACAGAAAUCCGAUAAGUUCAAAGGGUUAGUUUAAGAACCAAAGAGAAUUAGCUUUCUCACCAAUUGCAUCAAAAUUGAUGUCUUUCUUAUUGGAUACAAGUACCUUAGAUAGGGUUGGUUUAUAAGAAUUUUAAGAAAUAAAUCCUAAACCAAAAUCAAAUCAGAAUCCUAAUUUAAAGCAAAUAAGAAAAGAAACUAAAUCAAACCAGAAUCCUUAUUGGCUUAAAUGCCUUGCAUCAAUUAAAAAUGGAAACUAGGCAAUUAAAAGAGAAAUAAUUGAUUCAUUUUGCCACUUGCCUACUCAAGAAAUGGGAAAGUAUCCUAAAAGGAAAGUAGUAUAUUUUCCAAACGAGAAAGCAUCUGAUAAGGUAAAUAAUAUAUUUUCUAGCCAUAAUGUGCAAACCAACUUGCUGAUUUCAUGGAAAUGAUUAUGUGGAAACGUAAAAAGCCUGAAUCACUUAUUUAGUGGUCUGAAUAUCAUGUGUGAUUUCUUUAACGGGCCUCCACGAAUUUGAUUGAGCUCAAGUUGCUUAAAUCAACCCAUUAAGUGAUUUUUUGAAUUUUUUUGCACGAGCUCUUAUGAUGGGUCCAACAGGAACUUGAAUGGGAUCUGAAUAUACCUCAUCCCAUGUGCUUGUGACAGUUUUGUCCUCAAUCUCAUCAUUCCCCUCAUCUUGAAGAGGAUUUAUUCUCAAAUUGUCACAUGCAUCAAAAGAACUCAAAUUAAAAAAUUAAAAGCAGCACUUAUGUUGUACUUACCUAGCAAAUCUAGCUUGUGUGCAUUAUCAUUGAUCCAUUCUAAGACUUGGAAGGGCCAUCCCCUUGAGGUAAUAACUUGGAUUUCAUUUGUUCCAGAAAUCGUUCCUUGCGCAUGUGUAACUACACCCAAUCGCUGAGUUCAAAGACUAGCUUGUGUCGCCCUUUGUUGGCUUGUUUAGCAUAUUGUUGAGUUCUCUGUUUGAUCCGUUCUAAGACUUGGAAUGGGCCAUCCCCUCGAGGUAACAAUUUAGAUUUCAUUUGUUCCACAAAUCGUUCCUUGCGCAUGUGUAACCAUACCCAAUCGUCGAGUUCAAAGGCUAGCUUGUGUCGCCCUUUGUUGGCUUGUUUAACAUAUUGUUGAGUUCUCCGCAUGUGUAACCACACCCAAUCGCCACGUUCAUUUAUCUACUUAACAAUUUCAGUCUUUUUCUUGCCAUCUAAGUUAAGACGCUUAGAAACUAGUAAUGGAGUUAAAUCUAAUGGAGUUAAAGGAUUAAAACCGUAAACAAUUGCAAAUGGGGAAUACUCAAUUGUAGAAUGAAUAGAAUAAUUAUAAGCAAACACAACAUGUGGCAAACAAAUUUUCCAAAUUUGGACAUUCUUUUUAAUGAUAGCUUGCAACAGUGUGAAUAAAGUUCUAUUCACAACUUUUGUUUUACCAUCAGUUUGAGGCUGGCAAGUAGUUGAAAACAACAAUUUAGUUCUUAACUUAGCCCACAAUUGUUUCCAGAAGUAAUUUAAUAAUUUAGCAUCCUUAUUAGACACAAUUAUCAUAGGCAUACUAUGCAACCUCACAGUUUCCCUAGAGAAUAGGUCAAUGACAUUGGAAGCGUCAUCUGUCUUGUGGUAUAGAAUAAAAUGUGUUAUCUUAGAAAAUCUAUCCAUAACCACAAAAAUUGAGUCUUUCCCUCAUUUAGACCUAGGUAAACCUAGCACAAAAUCCAUUGAAACAUAAGUAUAAGGUGCACUAGGUAUUGGCAACGGGGUGUAUAAGCCAUAGGGCUUCACUUUCGAUUCGGGUUGCCUAUAGAUGACACAUCUACCACAAAGUCUCUCAAUAUCUCAUUUUAUAUGUGGCCAAUAGAAGUGUUCUUGCAAAACUGCUAAAGUCUUUACGACUCCAAAAUGCCCCAUCAACCCUCCUCCUUGGGUUUCUCUCACUUAUAAACCUGUCAAAGAACAAUUAGGCACACACAAUUUUUUUCCCCUAUAUAAGUAACCAUCAUGCCUAAUGCACUUACCAAUCGUGGUCUAUUCACAAGUUUGGUAUUCGACACUAAGAUCAUGGUCAUUAGCAUACAAUUCCUUAAUAUGUUCAAAAUCAAGCAGUUUAGCAUUAAGUGUCAAGAUUAAGACAUAUCUACGGGAAAACGCAUCUGUAACAAUAUUUUCCUUACCUUGUUUGUAACGAAUGAUAUAUGGAAAUGUCUCUAUGAAUUUUACCUGUCGAGCAUGCCUUUUGUUAGUUUGUGUUAGCCUUUAAGGUGUUUCAAAGACUCAUGAUCGGUGUGGAUCACGAACUCCUUAGGUCGUAGGUAGUGUUGCCACAUUUCUAACACUCGAACCAAUUCAUACAACUCAUUAUUGUAAGUAGGGCAGUAUAACGCUGCCUUAUUUAGUUUCUCAUUGAAGUAAGUAAUUAGUCGUCCCUCCUGCAUUAGGAUUGUGCCUAUACCAAUACUUGAAACACGUUAUCUUGUUUUUCUCCCUACUUGAAUCCAACAUCUUUUUUUAUUACUUCGGCAAGCGGUGUAGCAAACAACAUUUCUUUUCUAAGCACAUCUAAAACAGAUUUCAAAUGUACUUCAUGUUGGUUGAAGUUUUUGCUAUAUAUGAUGAUAUCAUCAAAAUAAAUAACAAAAAACUUGCCAAUAAAAGCUUGCAAAACAUGAUUCAUAAGUCUCAUAAAAGUGCUUGGAGCAUUAGUCAGACCAAAAGGCAUGACUAACCAUUUGUACAAACUAUAUUUUACUUUAAAGGCAGUUUUCCAUUCAUUUCCUUCUUUCAUUCUGAUACGAUGAUAUCCACUUUUCAGAUCAAUUAUAGAAAAUACACAAUACUCAUGCAAUUCAUCAAGCAUAUUGUCAUACAAAUUUAUUGUACUCACAAGCGCAAGAAUCUAUUGUAGAAUAGAUUUUAUGGUGGCGAGUGUCAAUCCCACGAGAACGUAAAUUUAAUUAUGUGUAGGGUUAAUUUUCUACAUGUAUAUGUGAGAAGGUUGGAAGUGAAUUUUUUUAAUCUUAAGAUUUAAAAUAAAAUGGCGGGAAUAAAUUAAAGAUGGAAUCAAUGCAAAUAAAACGCUUAAGUCUCUGGAUUCACACUCAACAUUCAUCAUCGGUUUAAUAUUUUCUUUUUAGUUCCAAUUAAUUCAUGAGGGGGUAUUUCCACUCCUCAUGAUCCUCAGUCUAAUAAAUAUCAUAUCAAGCGCUCAGUGUGCCAGAGGGUAAUGAUCUUUCACUAAGUGUGGUAUUAAAAACACGUUGUGCCGAUUGAUAAUAAUCCUUCUAUCGACAAGGUGGCAAGACCAUCCAAUAAAUAACUUUGAUACACUCUCUGUCGACAAUGAGUCAAGAUGACCCAUAAAAUGCUAGAGGGGAAUUUUCUCUCUAGUUAAGAUGGUGCUAAGUGCUCAUUAUGCCAGACAGUAACGAUCUUUCACUAAAGAGCCGGUAUACCGUGCAAAAUCCAGACAAGAUACACUGUUUGUCAACAAUUAGUCAAAAUGACCACAUAAAUCAGAGAGAAAAAGAAAAUAAACUUACCUAAUUAAGCUCAUCGAUCGUGCUGAUUCUUCACCUUUAACCCAAGCUUGAAACUAAACAAGCCCUCAUAAUUAAACAAGGGGUAAAAUGGUAAUUUGAUUAUAAUAUGUAAAAAACACAAGCUGGAGAGAGAAUUACAGAAAAUGAAACUAAAAAAUGGAUUGAGGGACGUCAAAUUAGGGGGAUGAACCCUCUAAUUAUAGAUACAAUAGGUAAAUAUAGACCAUCAGAUGAAAACAAUUCAGAUGCUCAGGAUUGCGUUACGUGGCAAAUUUUGAUUGGUUGGAACACAUCAUCAAUCAACACCACAUCAGCAUUUUGUAAAUAAGAUAUUGCCACAUCAUCAAUCAAAGCCAUAUUAGUAUUUCAGUCCAAUAACAUCCUGCCACAUCAUCGAUCAACGCCACAUUAUCAGUCAAUGUCACAUCAUUGCCACAUCAUUGGUUUAAUAAGAUGCUGCCACGUUAUCGGUCAAUGUCAUAUCAUCGGUCAAUAUCCGUCAUCGUAUCGUACAGGUGAACAGUGUCGUAAUUGUGAAUAAUAUCGUAUAUGUGAAUAGUACUGUAUACGUGAAUAGUAUUGUAAUUCUCAAUGCCAUAUCUCCAGUACUCAACACACUACCCAACUAGCUUAUUGUUAGUCCUCAACAAAUUAAGCAAUGAAAUCUAGCAAAAUUCAAACUGAAAUAUGUUUAUUAAAUAAAUGAACUUUUCCAAAAAAUUGCAUUCACCCCAUUUGCUAAUCAACCAUCAAACAAAAAUUCAGCAAACUGUCUUUAGUGCUUAACAAUGUUUGACAUAAUGAUUAUGGGGUUCCGUCAAAAUAAAACAAUCUUUUUAUUCUUACCAUCUCAUUCGAGUUUCUUCCAUAGGCAGCAGGUUUAUUUAUAUUAUUUCUUUAACUAACUCUAUUUGUUUUGUGUGAACACUCUUUACUUACUGAGGCAAAAGGCUCGGUUACUAAGAAAAAGUUGGGUUGGACAAAUUGAACUCUCACCGUUCGACGCGACCACUCUCUGCUUACUGAGACAGAAGGCUCGGUUACUAAGUAAGAGUUCAUGCAAUUUUGAUCAUCUCUCACCGUUUGACGCAAAUACUUUUUGCUUAGUGAGCCAAGAGACCUAGUUACUAAGUGAGAGUGUCUAUUCUUCUUUUUUUUUUCUCUUUCUUUUCUUUUUUUUUUUUGGUAUAAUGACCACCGCCUUUAGAUCUAUAACCAAUAUGAUUUCGAAAUGUUAUUUGAUAAUGGUUAUAUCCAAUACUAAUCGUACAAAAACAAAAAUCCAUUAAGGAAUUGGAUUAGUCAUGAUUUUCUUUUUAAUCAAAAACUCAUAUUUUGUCUUUUAAUAAAAGAAAACAUAAUAUCAAUUUUUAUUGCACUCUUGAUUUACUACUGCAGGAGCAUAUAUGUGCUACAAAAUCAUGUGUCCUCUAAUAUGCUUUUUUUUUAAAUAUUUUUCUCUCCACAUAAGUUCAUAUGAGAGAAUCAGUUGAGCUAUUGAAGUUAUCUUUUUUGUGUGUGUGUAUUAAGCUUAUAUAUUAAAUUUUACCUUCUUCAGUGUCAUGAUCAUAAAAGAAAAUCACAGUCUUUUACAAUCCUUCAAAGAUUGACUUCUUUUACUAAAUAUAUUUAGUGCUAUUCGUGAUAUCAAACAUGUGAAUAGUAAUUAGAUUUUGGUAAUUCAAUAUAAUCAUAAAAAGAAUCAUUCAUCAAGAAUUCAACAAAAAAAUUCAAAUCAAUUAAAAGGGUCAAGUACAUAUAUAUGUUACUUAUAGUUCAUUCCUAUAUUUUGUUAUAUCAAACUAUUCUUGAAAAUUAUUAAUAUAAAAUAAGCAUGCAAAAAUUUGUCAUUAAAAGUCUAAGAGGUUGAAAAUAAAGCCAACGAAGUGAAGAAACUAUUCAAAGUAGAAACGAAUAAUUUUCUUUUAUUAAUGACCGCAUUCACUCAAAUACUUUUGAAUAUCAUAUUUUUUCCUUCAAAGAAACAAUUUUGCUUCAUAUGGAAAAGGAAAUUCGUAUGUAGCCUUACAUGAUUUAUACAUAAAUUCAUAAUAUUUGUGUAGUCCUUCAUGAACAUGUGAAAUAUACACUUAUAUAGUGAAUCCUUCGUGAACAAGAUGUUAGUGAAUAACAUCAUAAUUUUGGAAUAGUCCUUCAGGAACAUAUUUUGAAAGAAAAUCUUCAUUAUGUAUAGUGCGAUCCUUAGAACAGCACUACUAUCAAACUAUCUUUAAAAGAGUUCCUUGAUCAAAAGAAUUUAUUUAUCAUUUUUCACAGUUUAAAAAAAUAAAAUAAAUUACGUAGAAAUAAUUUGAAGAUUUCCUAAAUAAGCAUCAAAUAAAUGCUAAUUUAUUGCAUGAUACUUAGAAGAAACCAUAAAUAAAAAUUAAGGAUUUACAAUUUUAAAGAGAAGCUGGGAGUUUAAAUUUUCUUGCCAUCUUGAGGGAGAAUAAUAAGACCAAAAUAAUAUUGAUGAAACAAAAUAAUCAAUCAAACAUUUGAUUGUCUGUAUCUUAAUCAGUGAUUAAGAAAAAUUGGUUGUUAAUUAACAUAAAAAUUGAUUGACUCAAUAUUUAUGAAUAGAUCAUUAUUUCUAAAUUAUGUUAAUUAUAUAUAUUUCAAAUACUUAUAAGAAUUGAGUUUGCUUACGGUUUAUUAAAUAUAGUCUCUUAAAAGUUUUCAUGUGGCCCAUACAAAGCUAACAUUACUCUGUUAUAGCAUUUCGGGCAUCCAACAAGAUCCUCUUCUUCACUUAUUGUUAGAACUAGAGCUAACAAAUUAAUUACUUAAUCACGGCUAAGUUUGGAAUUAAAAAUCAAACUAAAUUAUCUAAUUGGUUGAGUUCGGUUUCCGUUUGUAUGGGCCACAUGAAAUUUUCUCUCUCAUCUUCUCUCGUCUGCUAAUCGCAUCUUUCUCUCUUUCGAUUCUCUAAUUUCUCUCUUGGAUUUGGUUACCAAGCACCACAACAACAACAACAACAAUAAUAAUAAUUAUUAUAAUUAUAAUAAUAAUAAUAAUAAUUAUUAUUAUUAUUAUUAUUAUUAUUUUCCCUAUAUUAAACAAGUAGUCAUUUAUGAAUUUUGAGUGAAAAAUUCACUCGGCUGUGGCAGAUUUUGUGCCUUAAUUACAAGUAGUCGAUUUCACGCAUUCAUCAUCACCAUUACUAUGUUCAUUAUUAUUUGCUAUUGUUUUUUACUUUUUCUGCUGUUAUUGAUUAAAUUGGCAUUAAAUUUAUGUCUUGUCCAUUACAAGACUUAACAAUAGAAUCCAGUUGUAAAAUGGACACUGCAGAUGAUACAAGUGAGCAAGACCUAGUCAGAGAGCGUAGUACACUUUUUGUAAGUAUAAAUUAAUUGAUAUCUUUCGAGUUGUUAUGUUAGCGACCAUUUUAAAAACACUUCUGUAUUCGAAUUUUGGUUACGUUGAAGUGAAGGGGAUUGAGUUGCCAUUAAAAAUUAAAGUAUUUUGGUCUUUAUAAACAAAGCGCUUUUGUGGAAUAGAUCUAAGAAGAUGCUAAUCUUCUUAAUAAAAUUAAAAAAAAAAAAUCUAUUACUCUUGGUGCAACAAAUUUCCUAGUCCCAAAACCUUGUCAUAGAAAAAAAAAAGAAAAAAAAAAGAAAACAGAAAAAGAGUGAAAAUAUCUUCGGGAAAAUAAUAUAAUACUUGAACCUUAAAAAUAAAAGCUCUAUAUAUUACUAUAUAAACAGUGAUAAACACAAUUAAGAAAUUGCUAUCUAAGUCCACUCGAAAUUUUAUCAUACAGUCGUAUAUUUAUCACCUUAUGUACAGUGACGGACCUGCACGUGGGCUAGACCGGGCUGUAGCCCGGUCUAGUUUAGAAAAAAUCAUUUACACCCCUUACUUUUUUAAUAAUUUAGUAAAAUAAUUGAGUUUUCAUUUUAUUUUCAUAUAUGUCCCUAACUCAACUACCCUUACAUUUUCAUCAAUUUAGUAUAACAAUAGAGUUUUCAUUUUAUAUUUAAAUAUGUCCCUAACUCAAUUACCCAUAUGUUUUCAUUAAUUUUAUAUAAUAAUAGAGUUUUUAUUUUAUUUAUAAAUGUGUCCCUAAGUCAAUUAUAUUAUUUUCAAUUGAAAUUAGUGACUUAUUUUAUAAAAUGAUUAAAUUAUAUAUUUAUUGAAUAGAUUGAAAACAUUAGGGUGUUAAAAUUUUAUUACUGCUUUAAUUUAUUUUAAAAAGCUUCUAAUUAAAAAAUAUAUAUGUCAAUGUAAUAUAACAUCAUCACUAGACUUAAAAGUACUUACAGAAAUAACAUAUAGUAACAAUUAUCAAUAUUUUCAUAAAAUUUUAAUGUGAAUUUUCAGAUUUUAUUUAUUAGUUAUAUUAACUAAGAGGCCAAGUUAGAAAAUAAAAUUUGAGUAUUUUAAGAGCUUUUAAUAGAAGAAUCAUCAACUUCUAGUUCUUUAAAGAGAGAUAGAGCAUCUGACAAAGAAACAACUGCACCCAAAUAUCUUUUUGCUGAAUUUAGUUUAGUUUAUUAUUGAAACUUUUGAUUAAAAAUACUUUUACAAUUUGAAAGGAUGAAUAAAUUUUAAUUAUUUAAUUUAUUAAGUCGGGUAAUUUAGUACUUCACUUCAAGCAUAAAAGUUUUACUUGCAAUUUUUAAUUGAUUGUAAUUACAUGUAUUGAUCUAUUUUAAUUUAAAAUUCUUAAUUGAUUUUUUAAUCCUUAUAUAAUUACAAGUUAUUAUAGGUUGCAAUGUCAAAUUCUAUAAUUAAAAAAUAAUUUCAUAUUUGAGUUGUCUUUUGUUUUCUACUCUUUUUUUAUAAUUAUUUUUGUUUAUAGUACAUAUUUAGAGAGAUAAAGUUCUUGGUAUUCCUCCUUAUUUAAUAUACUUAUUUCUACUUAUAAAUUUUUAUGUUCGCUUCAAAAUACAAAUUUUAAAAUUUAGUCCGGGGUAAUAUUAAAUCCUGGAUCCGCCCCUGCUUAUGAACGUAUACUGUAAUUUGGAUACGUUAUUUAAUUAUAUAUAUAUUGUGUAGAUUUACCACAUUAUGUACGUAUAUAAAAUAUAACGUAUAUUGUGUAAACUCUACUAUAAACAAUUAAUAUUUGGUCAUAUUUCUUUUGGCAAAUAACCCCCUGGGAUUUCUUCUUUAUCGCAACAUGAAAUUGAAGAUAUUUAAAAGGUUUUGAAACGUUAUUUUUUUUUUUUUUUGAGAAGUUUUGAAACGUUAUUUUAAUUGAAAGGAUUUGCCAUUUUUAAUUUUGGUUGCAAAUAAUAAUUCCUUGGUGGUUACAAUAUUUUUAAAUAUCCCCAUUAAGGCUGUAGGGGCUAUAAAUCUUCAUUCUAGAUCUGUAACAUCUGACUAUGAAUUAUAUAUAAAUGAGCUAUUUUUCUUUAUCUUUGGAUAUAUUAUAUACUCUAUUGUUUUCUCCGAAACUCUACGCUAAACAAUUAAUACUUUUCUUUGCAACUUCGACAUUCAAAGACUUGGUUUAUUCUUCAGGUAAAUCGUGCUUAGGAAGAAGAGCGGCAUGAAGAUAUUUGGGUUGUAUUUUGGAGCUGCAAAAUACCGACAAUAUCCGCCCGUGGGGAGGGCUCUUUGACAUUUGGGUUGUAUUUUGGACAUUUGUCAUUCUCCAUAGUACUGGCCGGAUUCUUCAACAAUAUCCUAAUACUUCUAAAGUCAAAGACAUGCUUCUCUUUCGUUGUAUAUAUUUGCAUCUCUAGGUGAAAUUUGUAAUUGGCUGAGGACAUUUUUAUUUUUAUAGAAUGGAAGAACAGGGACUUUACGUGGAGAAAAAAUUAAUUGUAGUGGGUAUUUUCCAUAGAUAUAGCUAUACAUGUAGCAUGGCGAGCUGAUGACGGGAGUUCAUUUGACGGAAUUAGCCCUUCAAUGGGUUGUCGUUAUAAACCAGUUGGCCAAUAUAAUCAUGCAGCCUAUUUCAGCAAUCUUGUUUAUUAUGAUAUUAAUUUUGUGACUCAAGAAGCUGCAAGUAACAAUAAUUCGUACAUAUGCAAGUAAUUGUUUUGGUUGCAAAAUGCAACACUUUCUGGACCAUCUUCUGGUUAUAAUUUUGUUUUCAGUAAAAUGUAAUUUUUUUUUUAUUAUAGACAUUGUAUAAUUGUUUUAAAAUUUGGUAUAGCAAUAAAUAUGAUCUAUGUUUUGGACUGGUAGGUGGUUUUUUAAAACUCUUUCCCAAAAGUUUAUCUUAAAGUUCUAUCUUAAAUUAUGUGGUCUUCAUUAACUGAUUGGUGUAAUUAAUUUAAGUAAUAAAAAAGGAUCUGGAUCCUCUCCUAGACAUUUUUUUUCUUCUUCCUAAAUUUUUAAUGAUCCAUUGACAUGUGUCAUUAAUGAAAUUAAUUGAGAAAAAUUUAUUUUAUCUUUACCGCUUUAACCCUACCCUAAUUUGUGGACCCAUACAUGCACCCACGUUUCGGACAUGCAAUUUAACAUGCUUAAUUAUGGAUCUUUCAAAUUAAAGUUUUCAUAUUCCUUUGAAAACUAAAUGGAAAUAAAAUAAAAAAAUGAAUAUUUUGAAAACUAAUUGGAAACCCAUAAGACCAACAGUCUUAUACUAUAAUUUAAAUUUAAUUAUGUUUUAUUGACAAAAAUUAGCUAUUAUCAUUAUGAAAUGCCCAUUUCACUGAACUAUCUUUGAUUACAAAAUUUAUUUAGCAAUUCCAAGUGAAAUGAUAUUUUGAAGGAGGAAAAGACUCAAUUAGACAUUUAGACCGGGCUGCAGUUCUGGCCUCAUUUUGUCCUGAAGCUCAGCCAUGAUCCUGCCAAAGUUUUGGAGCCAUUCUAGCCACAUUCUAUCUUACUAUUAUGCACCACAUUUACUUUUUCGAUCUUCGAGACUGCGACUGGGUCAAACAUAUCCUCAAGCUCCGUUUUAACCUUACGAAAUUUGUGGACCCAUUUUACCUUCACGUGAUCGGUAUUACUACUUUUGUGGACAAGGCUACGUUGCAGUUGCAGACUCAGCUGAGUACCAACUACAGCUUUUCCUCUCUCCUGCAACGCGUGGAUGCUCCUUGUUUGUCUUCUUAUCUGCAAUUAUUUUCUCUGUGGACCCAUUCAUGCACCCACGUCUCGAAUAUGCAAUUUAACCGUAGCCGUUAAUCAUACCUAACUAUAUGUACGAUAAAAAUUCCGCCGUCGAUCCGCUAUAUGUAAGUACCAAUCAGGCAUUAGUUUUCUAAUAAGACUUUAUUUCUUUUAUUAGCUCAUAUUCAUCCAUGUGUUUAUCAUUCCUAGCUAAUUCGAUUAUUUAAAAUAACAAUGAUCCAUCAAUAAUUUUAUUCUUCGACCGGCUAAAAUGAUGUUUUUUUAUUAUUAUUUUGAUGAGGAGGUCUCAAUAAAGUUGAAAUAAAUAAAUUUUGGUCUUUGUCUCACACUUACAUAAACAAAGGAAAAAAUUAUAAAAUUAUAAAAAAAUUAAGAACCAUUUUCAAUCAUGGAAAUUCAAAUAUUUAAACAAUCAAAAUUUCAUCACCUUGAGUUGAAGAUUUCUUUUUCUUUUAUACCAAUAAAGUGAAAAUAAUACCAAACGAACUCCAAGACUAUCUUUAAUAUGUGCAUCAAUUAAUAAAACUGAUUUACCAGAAUUUCCAGCCCCUAGACUUUGCAUCAAUAAUUCACAGGUUGCAAAUUAUUCAAUUUGCAGCUCACAGGCAUGUUUAGAAAAAUGAAACCUAUACAAUAGCAUAUAAAGUGUCUGAUUGCAACAUGUUGUGCAACGCAAAAAAUUAAGAUGCAUCAUGUUGUGCAAAUGCAAAUAAAAAUCAGCUACAAUAUAAUGAACAUUAACAAUCUUGCUCAAAGUUAAAAUGAGAUUAUUUGAAUUUUUUCUGAAGAUAUUGGAUUAUAUAAAUAAUCAGUUAAUUAAAAGGUCGUUAUUGGAUUGGUUUCUUAAUUUUAUUUGCACAUAUUAAAGGGCUCAUCUCUAUGUAAGUACUAGUAGCCUGGCUCCCAAAGAUUCCUGAAACCAUUCCGCAUGAAAGACAUAUAUGCAUCAAACUAAGAUACAAAUGAGCUAAGGAAUGUUAAUGCAUUCAUUAAUUAUUCAAUUUCUUAUCUAAAGACUAAGAUUCUUUUAUUUUUUAUUCUAUCAAUUUAUUAUUGCGUAAAACAAUUGCGGGUGAGUAUAUUUAAACUCAUUAGAUCACUCCCUAUAUCCUAAAUCAAUAAAUAAUUUUAUUACAAAAUUACUGAAAAAUCCUUUUAAUAUCUUGAAUACCAAAAAAGUAAAAUUACCAUUCUAGAUGGAGGAUAAAUCUUUAAAACUACCUUAAACGCAUCUUAUUUGUUCAUACACACACAAGUUAUUAAACAACCAUGGAUGUUGAACUAAAGUGUCAAACUUAGUUUCUGGUUGUCAAAUUUUCUUCAUAUUGGACAUCUAAUCGUUUUGCAGUCAGUAACAUAGUCAAAAAAUCAAAUUAGUGGGGUAGAAUGACUGACAUAAAAUAUAAAGGAAAAAAAUUUACUGUGUUUUUUUAUCUUUUUUUCUAAUAUUUUUAGCAUUCCUCCUUACAUAUGUCUUAAUAGCAUGUUUAAUUUGAAGAAAUAAAAUAAGAAGAGAUGAGAGAUAAGGAGAAUGGGAACAAUAAAUAAGGAAAAAGAGAUAUAAUUAUAUAUUAAAUUAAAUAAUAAAAUUGAGAAUGAUCCUAUUUUUUCCAUCAUUUUUUGAUCACUUACUCUAAGGAACCAGAACUUUAAGGAAAGACAGACAAAUCAUAAAGAUUAAAGAGCAGGAAUUUGUGUUCUCCUUUUUAAAUAAAAAAUUUUCAUUUUAAUGGAUUUUUAUUAUUAAAUUAGUCUUUCGCUAUAUCAGAUCAAAUAUAUUAGAUCUUAAAUCUUGUUUUUAAUGAAAUUAAUUACGUUUUGGGCAUUUAAAUUAUGAAAGUGGACAAGAUUUGUGUGUGAUUUUAAAAUAAAUAUGAACUUGAAUUUGAUGCAUUUAAUUAAUCCAAAGAGGCAAAUUUAUAAUUUCAACUUCUAAAUAAAACAUAUCAUUUGAAUUUUACCAGUGGUUUCUAAUAAUAACUGACAGGUCAUUAUAAUAAUUAUAAAUGUAAUAUUUAUUUUUAUAAUUAUACAGUUAUGAUCAAUGCUAUGCUGUAGUGCCGUUCCAAAGGCAACUGCUCCCACUAUUCUCUUAGCGGCUCUGCCACUAAUCGCAUUCUGGCCACAUUUUAUCGUGCUAUUAUGCACCAUAUUUAUUUUUGCAAUCUGCGAGACUGCGACUAGGAUAUGCAUAUGCUCAAGCUCCGGUUUAGUCUUAAUUUGUGGACCCAUUCUACCUCACACGUGAUUGGCAUUACUACUUUGUUUGUCUUCUUAUGUACUAUUAUUUAUUAUGUGGACCCAUUCGUGCACCCACGUUUCGAAUACACAAUUUAACCGCAGCCGCUAAUCUUACCCAAUUUAUGUACGAUAAAAGCUCCGCCGUCGAUCCGUUAUACUUAAGUACCAACCAUGAUCAUGAUUUGAUUAGCUACGUCGCAAAGUCGUAUUGAUUACGAAACACCAACACCUAGGGCCUAGGCAAUAUAGUAUUCUUUUUAGGUGGCCCACGAGGAAAUUGUUGUUGAAUAAUCAUUAAGCAAGAACUUGCAAAAGCAACUUAAUUACAAAUAAUAUUUCCUCUGUUCUUAUUUUCAGUUCAAUUUGGUCCCGAGAAUAAUGAUGAUGAUGAUGAUGUUGACGACAGCAAAAAUAAUAAUUGAUCUUGCAGAUCAAUUAUCAAAGUUUGUUUGUGUGACUCUUGGAAUCUUUGUUGGCCAAUAAAAGGAUGCAUUUUGCUGUUUAAUAAGGCAAGCUCGAAAUAAAUCAAAUCCUAGUCAUACAAAAAUUCAAAUGAUAUGAGCCAUGAUCUCUUGCCAAGCUUCAGACAAGUUAAAUUAUGAACACACAUUUACGCUGUGGACCCAUUCAUGCAUCCCCGUUUCGAUUUUGCAAUUUAACGUAGCCGUUAAUCUUACCUAACCAUCCGUACGAGAAAAACUCCGCCGUCGAUCCGUAUAUGCAUUAUUAUUUUUUUUGGAUUAGGACGAAAUUAUUAUUGAAUAAUAAUUAAAACAAGAAAAUCUGAAUCUUUCUAUGAUUGUAUCAACUUAUUAUGCAUGCCUAUGUUAUUGCCCGGUUGCCUAUGUUAUUGACAUCUACUACGAAGUUAGAAAUUGGUCUUAAUUAAUUAGAUAUGUUUCGAAAUUGGUCUUAAUUAAUUAGAUGCAUUUCUCAUUUGAAUUAUUUGGAGACGUGUAUAAUACUGGUCAAGUUUUCUAAUAAGAGGUUAGUGACUUUAUUUCUUUUAUUGGCUCAUAUUGAUUUAUUUGGUUGUCAUUCCUAGCUAAUUCGAUUAUUUAUCAAUAAUUUUAUUGGACAAAUUCUUUUAUUGAUUAAAAUAAGUUUUUCUUAUUAUUGUUUUUGACGAGAAGGUCUCGAUAAAGUUGGAAUAAACAAAUUUUCAUCUAUGUCUCGCACUUACAUAAAAUAAAGGAAAAAAAUAUAAUUAUAAAUAAAUUAAGAACCAAUGUCAAUAAUGUAAAAUCAAAUAUUUAAACAAAUCAAAAUUUUAUCACUUCUGAGUUUAAGACUUUUUUCUUUCAUAUGUUAGAAAAUAAAAUUUUGAUGGAAUGUUUUUUAAAAAUGAAAUUGGGAAUUAGAAAAUUUCAUUUCCAAGACUAUCUUUCAUUGGCUAUGUCCAAGACGAAACAGAUUAAAAGCAACUUUUGUAAUUUACAAAAGUACUGUAGCAAUGAGAUGCGAAAGAAAAGACUGCACGUGAUAAUUGCGGUUAGUGUUCCCCUGUUAUCAAUUAUUGCCACCGGAUGGGACCCACGUAAUUCGUCUAAUUGAACUGUACCCGGUUAUUCGUAAUCCACACCGGGCAUACUUGAAUCAUCUGUAUAUAUUACAUUAAAUUGUCAAGCCGGAAGCAAGAACUCGAAAAAGCAACUUAACUACUCUCGAACUUUGAUUCCCGUAAGCAGAGAUCUUUGUGAUUUGAAGAACAUGGAAACUACCUGCGCAGGUUUAUAGGCCAACUUUAUUUUAAUAUAUAUCGUUUAUACUUCUUAUUUUAGUAUAUGCAGAUAUAAAUUAAAUUUUUUAUAUGAAAUUUUCAGGUAAUAACUGGUCAGAGGGUUUUCUCAUUCCAGCGGCCAGUAUUGCUGAUGAUGAUGUCAUGAACGAUAAUCUUGAUCUUCUUAAUAUCCCUCAAUAUGGAAGAAAUCCCGACUACAUGGGUUAAGUGCAGCACUGCUUUUUUUUUUUUCUGUUUUGUUUAAUUAAAUAAAUGAUAGGUAUACUAUUACCUAUCAAUCAUGGCAAUGUCUUAGUCUGGUUUAGUUCAACUUAUAAGAUUUCUUGAGAUGUACAAGAUAUCUUUUUGAGCUAAGUAUUUUCUUGAAAAAGGAAAUAAAUCAAUAAAAGUUAUUGUGUGUGUCAACAUAUUGGUUAUAUU